GACGAACGCUGGCGGCGUGCUUAACACAUGCAAGUCGAACGGAAAGGCCCCUUUGGGGGUACUCGAGUGGCGAACGGGUGAGUAACACGUGAGUAACCUGCCCUUGACCUCGGGAUAACUUCAGGAAACUGGGGCUAAUACCGGAUAGGAAUCCUUGCUGCAUGGUGGGGGUUGGAAAGCUUCGGCGGUUUUGGAUGGACUCGCGGCUUAUCAGCUUGUUGGUGGGGUAGUGGCUUACCAAGGCUUUGACGGGUAGCCGGCCUGAGAGGGCGACCGGCCACAUUGGGACUGAGAUACGGCCCAGACUCCUACGGGAGGCAGCAGUGGGGAAUAUUGCACAAUGGGCGGAAGCCUGAUGCAGCAACGCCGCGUGCGGGAUGACGGCCUUCGGGUUGUAAACCGCUUUCAGCAGGGGCGAAGCUUUUGUGACGGUACCUGCAGAAGAAGCACCGGCUAACUACGUG
rnacentral:rRNA from 1 species